rnacentral:rRNA from 1 species
AGAGUUUGAUCAUGGCUCAGAGCGAACGCUGGCGGCAGGCCUAACACAUGCAAGUCGAACGGUAAGGCCCUUCGGGGUACACGAGUGGCGAACGGGUGAGUAACACGUGGGUGAUCUGCCCUGCACUUCGGGAUAAGCUUGGGAAACUGGGGUCUAAUACCGGAUAGGACCACGGUCUGCAUGGAUUGUGGUGGAAAGCUUUUGCGGUGUGGGAUGGGCCCGCGGCCUAUCAGCUUGUUGGUGGGGUGAUGGCCUACCAAGGCGACGACGGGUAGCCGGCCUGAGAGGGUGUCCGGCCACACUGGGACUGAGAUACGGCCCAGACUCCUACGGGAGGCAGCAGUGGGGAAUAUUGCACAAUGGGCGCAAGCCUGAUGCAGCGACGCCGCGUGGGGGAUGACGGCCUUCGGGUUGUAAACCUCUUUCAGCAGGGACGAAGGGUGACUGACGGUACCUGUAGAAGAAGCACCGGCCAACUACGUG